rnacentral:rRNA from 1 species
AUUGAACGCUGGCGGCAGGCCUCACACAUGCAAGUCGAGCGGAGCGGCGGACGGGUGGGUAAUGCCUAGGAAUCUGCCCGGUCGUGGGGGAUAACGUCCGGAACGGGGCGCUAAUUCCGCAUACUAUCACAUGAGCCUAUGUCGGCUUAGCUCGUUGGUGGGGUAAAGGCCUACCCAGGCGACGAACCGUAACUGGUCUGAGAGGAUGAUCAGUCACACUGGAACUGAGACACGGUCCAGACUCCUACGGGAGGCAGCAGUGGGGAAUAUUGGACAAUGGGCGAAAGCCUGAUGCAGCCAUGCCGCGUGUAUGAAGAAGGCCUUCGGAUUGUAAAGCACUUUAAGUUGGGAGGCGUUACCAACAGAAUAAGCACCGGCUAACUUCGUGCCAGCAGCCGCGGUAAUAC